GUGGUCAACUGAUUUGAAGAGCUUGCUCAGAUAUGACGAUGGACAUUGCAAAGAGUGGCGAACGGGUGAGUAACACGUGGGAAACCUACCUCUUAGCAGGGGAUAACACUUGGAAACAAGUGCUAAUACCGUAUAACACUAAUAACCGCAUGGUUAUUAGUUAAAAGAUGGUCUUGCUAUCACUAAGAGAUGGUCCCGCGGUGUAUUAGCUAGUUGGUAAGGUAAUGGCUUACCAAGGCAAUGAUACAUAGCCGAGUUGAGAGACUGAUCGGCCACAAUGGGACUGAGACACGGCCCAUACUCCUACGGGAGGCAGCAGUAGGGAAUCUUCCACAAUGGACGAAAGUCUGAUGGAGCAACGCCGCGUGUGUGAUGAAGGGUUUCGGCUCGUAAAACACUGUUGUAAGAGAAGAAUGACAUUGAGAGUAACUGUUCAGUGUGUGACGGUAUCUUACCAGAAAGGAACGGCUAAAUACGUGCCAGCAGCCGCGGUAAUACGUAUGUUCCAAGCGUUAUCCGGAUUUAUUGGGCGUAAAGCGAGCGCAGACGGUUAUUUAAGUCCGAAGUGAAAGCCCACACCUUAACUGUGGAAGUGCUUUGGAAACUGGAUAACUUGAGUGCAGUAGAGGAGAGUGGAACUCCAUGUGUAGCGGUGAAAUGCGUAGAUAUAUGGAAGAACACCAGUGGCGAAGGCGGCUCUCUGGACUGUAACUGACGUUGAGGCUCGAAAGUGUGGGUAGCAAACAGGAUUAGAUACCCUGGUAGUCCACACCGUAAACGAUGAGUGCUAGAUGUUUGAGGGUUUCCGCCCUUAAGUGUCGCAGCUAACGCAUUAAGCACUCCGCCUGGGGAGUACGACCGCAAGGUUGAAACUCAAAGGAAUUGACGGGGACCCGCACAAGCGGUGGAGCAUGUGGUUUAAUUCGAAGCAACGCGAAGAACCUUACCAGGUCUUGACAUCCUUUGACCACUUCAGAGAUGAAGCUUUCCCUUCGGGGACAAAGUGACAGGUGGUGCAUGGUUGUCGUCAGCUCGUGUCGUGAGAUGUUGGGUUAAGUCCCGCAACGAGCGCAACCCUUAUUAUUAGUUGCCAGCAUUCAGUUGGGCACUCUAGUGAGACUGCCGGUGACAAACCGGAGGAAGGUGGGGAUGACGUCAAAUCAUCAUGCCCCUUAUGACCUGGGCUACACACGUG
rnacentral:rRNA from 1 species